AUACUUAACCUGGCAGGGGAGUUACCAAAGGUGGUUUUCCCAGGGCGAGGCUUAUCCAUUGCACUUCGGGUGUGCUGCCCCCUGUAUUUCCCCAAAUGUGGGAAACUCGACCGCAUAAUUUGUGGCAGUGGGGGACUGCAUUUGAGCUCUCCCCUG
ensembl:snRNA U1 U1 spliceosomal RNA